CACAGACUAUCCACACUUUUAGGAAAGCCAGUUUCCUAAUUUCUCUUCCAUCUUCAACCUACAAAUUCCUGAGGAGCCUUCCUGUGAGUGCUGACAUGAACAAAAAGGCAAAUUAUGUCAGGAAGAAACGAGCAGGGCUGCACAUUUUUAUAAGAGACAUCUACUCUCUGCGGAGGGCACUGAAAUUACACUUGCCCACAACUGCAAAGACUUCCAGACCUGCAAGCCAAAUUACACAGAGGAUAACCAACUUGUGCUACCAGCUUGGCCAGAGCCACAAAGUGCUCAGGGCAAGCACAUCUGCCCAGCAACAAAAGAGAAGAAGCCCCACGCUUGAUCUUAUUAAAAUUUAAAGCUAUAAUUGACCACGGGGCUAUUUGGUGAAAUCUCCCCUGCUUCCUUCGACCACUGACGCUGCACAGCCUAUUGCACAAGCUCUUGCUGAAGACCAAUUUAGCGCUGGAUGAAAC